GACGAACGCUGGCGGCGUGCUUAACACAUGCAAGUCGAACGGAAAGGCCUGCUUUCCCUUGUGGAUUGCGGGUACUCGAGUGGCGAACGGGUGAGUAACACGUGAGUGAUCUGCCCCCAACUUGGGUAUAAGCCUGGGAAACUGGGUCUAAUUCCCGAUAGGACUGCAGGGUGGUGCCUGUGGUGGAAAACGAUUUUCUAGUGGUUGGGGAUGAGCUCGCGGCCCAUCAGCUUGUUGGUGGGGUAAUGGCCUACCAAGGCGGCGACGGGUAGCCGGCCUGGGAGGGUGGACGGCCACAUUGGGACUGAGAUACGGCCCAGACUCCUACGGGAGGCAGCAGUGGGGAAUAUUGCACAAUGGGCGGAAGCCUGAUGCAGCGACGCCGCGUGGGGGAUGACGGCCUUCGGGUUGUAAACUCCUUUCGACCGCGAGGAAGCCACCUGGUUGGAAGGGUGGUGACGGUAGUGGUAGAAGAAGCACCGGCUAACUACGUG
rnacentral:rRNA from 1 species